GUUGUCCUACGGGGCGCAGCAGUGAGGAAUAUUGGUCAAUGGGCGGGAGCCUGAACCAGCCACGUCGCGUGAAGGAAGAAGGUACUUAGUAUUGUAAACUUCUUUUGUCGGGGAACAAAGGCGGAGACGCGUCUCCGGAUGAGUGUACCCGAAGAAAAAGCAUCGGCUAACUCCGUGCCAGCAGCCGCGGUAAUACGGAGGAUGCGAGCGUUAUCCGGAUUUAUUGGGUUUAGGGGUGCGCAGGCGGGAGAUCAAGUCAGCGGUAAAAUGUCGGGGCUCAACCCCGGCCGGCCGUUGAAAGUGGG
rnacentral:rRNA from 1 species